rnacentral:rRNA from 1 species
UACAGAGGGUGCGAGCGUUAAUCGGAAUUAUUGGGCGUAAAGGGCGCGUAGGCGGCUAGAUGUGUCAAAGGUGAAAUCCCUCGGCUCAACUGAGGAACUGCCUUUGAAACUGUCUGGCUUGAGGCCGGGAGAGGGUAGCGGAAUUCCCAGUGUAGCGGUGAAAUGCGUAGAUAUUGGGAGGAACACCAGUGGCGAAGGCGGCUACCUGGACCGGUUCUGACGCUGAGGCGCGAAAGCGUGGGUAGCAAACAGG